UCUUGCCCAGGCUGGUCCCAAACUCCUGGGCUCAAGCAGUCCUCCUGCCUCAGCCUCCCAGAGUAUUGGGAUUAUAGGUGUGAGCCACUGCCAGAAAAACGUUUCCUAAGACAAGGCAGGUCUUACAUUAUAUUUAAAUUUUUUUUAAUGAUGUCUUUUUUGGCAGUGCACAGCCAGAGGACAACACAUCACACACAAGAAACAGUUGUGCUCAUGUGAUGGGGGCCUCAGCACUAGGAAGGAGUGGACUGUUGGCGCACGCAGCAGCUUGAAUAAAUCUGAAAGUCACUACGCUGCGUAAGAGAAGCCAAAUAAAGCGCAUGCUGUGUACAGAGGGUGUCGAGAAUGCCUCCUACGUGACGGAAAGCAGAUCCGUGGUUCCCUGCAGACUGGCAGGAGCAGAUUCCAAAGGCACAGGAAGAAGCUUGCAGUACAAAGAUAAAAAUCUAAAGUGGUUGCUGUGGAGGACAGGGGUCAGUGGUGGAAGUGAGACCGAAAUAGACUCUGAAGUAAUAUCUGGACUUUGAAAUUGUUGCCUGUUCACUCUGCCUGGUCAUAUGCAGAAAACCGAAACUAGACCCCUUGCUGACACUUAUACAAAAAUUAACUCAAGAUGCAUUAAAGAUUUAAACGUGAGACCUAAAACCAGAAAAAUCCUAGAAGAAAACCUAGGCAACACCAUUGAGGACGUAAGCAUGGGCAAAGACUUCAU
rnacentral:lncRNA from 10 species